rnacentral:rRNA from 1 species
GGUACGUUAUCGGCAUACUGGGCGUAAGCGCGCGCAGGCGGUUAUGUAAGACAGAUGUGAAAUCCCCGGGCUCAACCUGGGAACUGCAUUUGUAACUGGGUGGCUAGAGUACGGUAGAGGGGGAUGGAAUUCCGCGUGUAGCGGUGAAAUGCGUAGAUAUGUGGAGGAACACCGAUGGCGAAGGCAAUCCCCUGGACCUGUACUGACGCUCAUGCGCGAAAGCGUGGGGAGCAAACAGGAUUAGAUACCCUGGUAGUCCACGCCCUAAACGAUGUCAACUGGUUGUUGGGAAUUUUUUUUCUUAGUUUCCAAACUUAAGCCUGUAGUUCACCCCCCGGGGAGAACCGGCCCCAGGGUUAAAAUCCAAAGGAUUUGCGGGGAGCCCCACAAACGGGGGAUGAUGUGGGUUUAUUUCAUUGCACCCGAAAAAACUUUCCCACCUUUUACAUGGCAGGAAACUUCCCGAAAUGGAUUCGUGGUCUUCAGAAACCUGCCACAGGUGCUGCAUGGCUGUCGUCAGCUCGUGUCGUGAGAUGUUGGGUUAGUCCCGCACGAGCGCAACCCUUGUCAUUGUUGCUACAUUUAGUUGGGGAUCUUAUGAGACUGGCGGUGAGAAAACUGAAGAAAGUGGGGAUGAACUCCAGUCCUCAUGGGCCUCUUAGGUGGGGGUUCACACCUCGUUCAAUGGGUGGUACAAAAGAGUGCCAACCUCCGAGGGGGAGACUAUCCCAUAAAACUAUUCUAAUUCCGAUUCAGUCUGCACUCCACUGCCUGAAUCGGAUCGCUAGUAUCCGGAUCACAUGCGCGGGGAAACGUUCCCGGGCUUGUACCACCCCCGUCCACAUGGGACUGGCUCGCACAAUAGUAGCUAACCUACGAGGCGCUACCCGUUGGAUCUGAUG